rnacentral:rRNA from 1 species
UACGGAGGGUGCAAGCGUUGUUCGGAAUUACUGGGCGUAAAGCGCGUGUAGGCGGUUUGAUAAGUUGGGUGUGAAAUCCCUCGGCUCAACCGAGGAACUGCAUUCAAAACUGUCAGACUAGAGUAUCGGAGGGGGUGGCGGAAUUCCCGGUGUAGAGGUGAAAUUCGUAGAUAUCGGGAGGAACACCUGUGGCGAAGGCGGCCACCUGGAAGAUUACUGGACGCUGAGACGCGAAAGCGUGGGGAGCAAACAGG